CUUCGUCUCGUUUGACAGAG
rnacentral:snRNA from 1 species